rnacentral:SRP_RNA from 1 species
GCGCCGGCCCUGUGCGGCGGGACGCUGUGAACCAUGUCAGGCGGGGAACCGAGCAGCAUUAAGCGGCUGUUUCCGGGUGCCACAGUCAGCCGGCGUUUC